AUCAUCACCCGCAUUGUCCGUGACUAUGAUGUGUAUGCAAGACGGAACCUGCAGAGAGGCUACACUGCCAAGGAGCUCAAUGUCAGCUUUAUCAACGAAAAGAAAUACCACUUGCAAGAACGAGUUGAUAAGGUAAAGAAGAAAGUGAAAGAUGUGGAGGAAAAGUCAAAAGAAUUUGUGCAGAAAGUGGAGGAGAAGAGCAUCGACCUCAUCCAGAAGUGGGAGGAGAAGUCCCGAGAGUUCAUUGGAAGUUUCCUGGAAAUGUUUGGUCCAGAAGGAGCGCUGGUGGGAGCCUUUCUUCCUGACACUUGAGGGAAUACCAGGGAAGGGGGCUGCUUUUCUCUUCUUUUGCUGUU
rnacentral:lncRNA from 1 species